rnacentral:rRNA from 1 species
GCAUUAAUAGUGAAAUCGAGUAGGACGGGACACGUGAUAUCCUGUUUGAACAUGGGGGGACCAUCCUCCAAGGCUAAAUACUCCUGACUGACCGAUAGUGAACCAGUACCGUGAGGGAAAGGCGAAAAGAACCCCUGUGAGGGGAGUGAAAUAGAACCUGAAACCGUGUACGUACAAGCAGUAGGAGCCCACUUGUUGGGUGACUGCGUACCUUUUGUAUAAUGGGUCAGCGACUUAAUUUUAGUAGCAAGGUUAACCGUUUAGGGGAGCCGUAGGGAAACCGAGUCUUAACUGGGCGUCAUAGUUGCUAGGAUUAGACCCGAAACCGAGUGAUCUAGCCAUGGGCAGGUUGAAGGUGAGGUAACACUUACUGGAGGACCGAACCGACUAAUGUUGAAAAAUUAGCGGAUGACUUGUGGCUAGGGGUGAAAGGCCAAUCAAACUCGGAGAUAGCUGGUUCUCCCCGAAAGCUAUUUAGGUAGCGCCUCGGACGAAUACUACUGGGGGUAGAGCACUGUUAAG